rnacentral:lncRNA from 1 species
ACUCGGCCGCGCCCACGGCCUCCCAACCCCGGACAGAGAAGGAAAGGAGGGACCCCCGCGUGUCCGCAGCUGCUUUCGCCUCUCCUGCUCCUGGAGGGGUGGGGGAAUCAUCCGCUGCUUCCCAAGCCCUGCAAACCCCCCAAACUGCUUGUUGGGACCCAUUUCCCGUAGGAGCAAUUUGACCCGCUCGGACCGAGGACAUUCAGCUGUGAGCUUUCGAGAGAUUUUGUAACCAAUAACCAUAAUCCCGCGGCAGAGGCCACAGAAAAGCUUUCAAUUCCUGCCCAGCAUCAUCAACACACACACCCCCGCCAUAAACUUAAAAGCAAGGAUUAAAGACCGGAACACCACGCCACACGGCAGGGGGUAAGCACCAGAGGACAAGAAGUUCUCAGCUGAGUCUCUCCACCCAAUAACGGAGUGAGAACAGAAUCGGGGCAAACAGAAGCAGCAGCUCACCUUUGCCUUUUUGGGACCGAGUGCUCAACUUCUAUGGGUUUCCCGU